UGCAGUAUGAGGCAUUCACACAAAGCAUCGACUCCAUCAAUAAAAAAGAGUUCAUAUGUAAAACUGUGGGUUUUAUGUUAACCACUCUGUUUGUCCCACAUGAAUGUGACAUUUAAUGUCAUCGAGCCUAUUUGACUAAUCAAAAAAAGGAUUUCCCGCCACACCCAUCUCACAGAAUUGGUAUGUCGUGACAAGCACAACGAACAGGAAAGCACCUCAGAUAUCAAUCCUACUGUAUCUGCUUCCAGAAUCGAUGCUGAAGCACAGACGCGUCCAGUGACCUGUGCUUUUCUGCCUGUCCCGCGCUCAGCGUGCAGUCCGUCGAUGCGGACACCGUGAAAUAAUCCAUAGCAUCUGGAGCUCUUCUUUUUCUCCUCUGAUGAGCAGCGAAUCGAUGCCAGCGGCACGAGUUCCCGCCGGCAGGCCUGAGACGCAGAGAGGGGCGAGAGAGACACUGCCUCUGUAAUUCAUGGCCCAUUGUAUUUGCCCAAGCAGCUCCCAGAAUGCUUUUGUGCUGGCUGGGCGGGAAUCCUUCCAGUGCGUUAUGGUCAAUGUUUGAGCUCUGAACCGAGAUGGAAGGCUCAAUAUUAUGGGAGAGAUUCAUGAUUUGCUGGCCAUGCUUCAGGUGAAAUUACAAGCUUGUUAGAGACCCAUAAUUCUGCACCGGAUCCAGAUCAGAUCAAACACAUCCUCCACCGGAUUCCACUAGCUUUACUUACACUCAUGGGAUACAAAAAGCUGAUGUUUCAAAGAAUGUUUGAGCACAAAAAUGUUUCCGUGGAGCAAUGACUGAUUGCUGCAAUUUUAUUUGGUACAAUUUUAACAAACAAGGUAAUCAAAAUGUUCCAUAGGUACUGUAAAUGUUGUAUUGUGGUCAUAAAAAUAAAUUUAAAGGAACAGUUCAACUCAAAAUAAUAUUUUUUUUGCCCUCAUUUACUUCAUGGUUUUUCAAACUUGUAUGAGUUUCUUUUUUUCUGUUGAACACAAAGAAGAUAUUUUGAAGAAUGUGGGGAACCAAACAACUGAUGGUACCCAUUGACUUCUAGAGUAUUUUUUUCCAUACUAUGGAAGUCAAUGGGUACCGUCAGCUGUUUGAUUUAAUUUUGGGCGAAUGAUCCCUUUAAAGUAUUUUCAUUGUGUUUUCGGUGAAAUUGUAAUGCCUAGAUUAUAUUUUAAAAUACAAGCGUUACAUUGGAUGAUUUUUUUGGAUGUUGUUGUUUUUUUUAAGAAUGGUCAAGCACAAAAAUGUUUUCAUGUCAUAGAUAUUAAAUCUUAUUUGCAUAUAUUCAAAUUUGUUGCAUAAAGACAUUAAAUUUACUAAAUUUUAAAUGGUAAACGUUGUGCAAAUGUCGCAAUUUGUCAUAGUUAUUAAAUCUCACUUAUAUGUGAUGUGGUAAAUUUGUAUAUGUGAUUGUGAAAUCAACUGUUUUUGUACGAUUUAACAAAUCGUUUAAUAAAUGUUGC
ensembl:lncRNA